UACGUAGGGGGCAAGCGUUGUCCGGAAUUAUUGGGCGUAAAGAGCGUGUAGGCGGUCCGGUAAGUCCGCCGUGAAAGUCCAGGGCUCAACCCUGGAAUGCCGGUGGAAACUGUCGGGCUGGAGUCCGGAAGAGGCGAGUGGAAUUCCUGGUGUAGCGGUGAAAUGCGCAGAUAUCAGGAGGAACACCAAUGGCGAAGGCAGCUCGCUGGGACGGUACUGACGCUGAGACGCGAAAGCGUGGGGAGCAAACGGG
rnacentral:rRNA from 1 species